GGCUGGCAGUUUUAAAUCAAGCAGGUGCAGCUCAUCUGAGGGGCUAAGUCUGGAAAGGAUUCCAGGCCUUUCUGGGACCCAAACACAACCUUCACCUUCAUGCUAUUCUGAGACCCAAUAAACGUCCCUACUUGGAUAAACCAGUUUGGGUUGGGUUUCUGUCACUUGCAACCAAAGGAGACCUGCCUGUUACAGUCUGCACUGGGUUAACCAUCUGUGGAAUGGUGGCCUGACAACCUGUCACCUCUCCAUGGAGGCCACAACAUUUCAACAUCAUUAGUCACCAAGGAAGUCUGGGAGAUAUUUCCACCAACCGCAGCAACACGGAGGUGAAAGAUAAAGUUUUGUCACUGUAUCCACUCCUCCUCUGAAAGAAGAUGGCAGGAUUGGACAGCAAGAAAGUGAGUCUGUCACAAGCCGCACAACUCAACUGGAGUCCUGAGCAGGUGACCAGAUCAGGAUGCUGGCCUGGGAGACUCCCCAGAAAUCCCCAGGUAUCGGAACAAGGUCAAGGCGUUUUGCGAGCAGGAGGGCGGAGCCGGCAGAAUCUUCAACAGCAUCCAGGUCAGCUCUGUCACGUGCAGAUGACACAGCCCAGGACCAGGAGGUGUGGGGACUCAUGCAGGCUUGCACAUACAAACCAAGCUACAGGCAUAUCCUUAAAGCAAACUCCCGAAAAUUCCAUGUGAGCAGUUCCACAUGCUGGUCUGACGUCCUCGGUGGCUGCCUGUGUUUGAGGUACCAGGGCCGCCGUUCGGAGUAAAUGAGUGGAGGUGCUGUAGUUUGUGUACGGCAGGAACCGGCUGCUCCUGGACCGCUCCACUGGGGCAGCUGCCGUAGGCAUCGGUCCUGCUGCAGAUGUCUGGGGAGCAGCCAGGCUGGCAGGCCCAGGCAGCAGCCAAGGGUCUGGGGACGAGGGGGAGGGGCCGGGAGGCAGGCUGCAGGGCCUGGCCUCCACCCUGGCAGGAGGCAAGCCCAGUGCCACAAAAUCCUGCUGGGUGGGCAGGUGGCAUGGGUGGAGGGGAGGACCAGCAGGUGGCAGGGUCCAGCCACCGAGUGGGGCAGGAAAGAACUCCAGUCACAGGACGGAGCAAGCCAGGGCCCUCAUCUUCACACUGGACGGGUGACCAAGGCAGGAACUGGGGCCCAAGGAUCAAGUCAGAAGCUGCGUUGUUAGGUAGGAUCGAGUUGGGUUAAGAAGAAUGGAAACCUCCAAGUAUCAUUGACUCAAACAGGCACCGCACACCAGUGUAUCUCCCGCUCCGGAGGGAGUUGGGCGGCGACCUCAAUUUUGGCUAACAGGACAGGAACUGAUUCACCAGUGGUGUGAAGUCCUCUUCCCUGGAAUUUGGUGCCAUGCCAUUUGGCUCCCUGGGCUGCUAAAGUGCCUCUGAGUAAGGGAUCGAUUAAGGGGUGAGGGAAGGAAGAAUCGAUCUCUUCCAGGAUUGGAGAGCCCGCCCUGGCUGACGCGCAGUGCUGCCUUGGUUGUGUGCCAGAGGAUGGGACGGGGAGUUUCCUUAGCCGGGACCACCAGCGAAUUAAUCUCCUGUCGUGGACGUCCCGGGAAAACUGACUCGAGAGGGAAGGAAGGGAGGUCCGAAGCACUGGAGGCUGGGGAAAUGUAAUCAAGAUGUAACUUUUUGAUCGAGCAAAGCAAAGUCAGGGUCCUGACAAGUGACCCGAAGUUUAAAAACAUCAAGACUCCACUAGUGGUUCUCAUGGGUGGCUGGGGGAUGACAAAAUCACGUGUGCAUUAAGAAAUAGGCCCUGUCCCCACAUCGGGGCCCUGUCCGUAAGUGUGAGUAAUGCGAACAGGAACAGUGUCCUGGGCCACAGUACUACGGUGAGCGGAAAUGGCCCCAGAGGGUACGGGUCGUGAGGGCUUGGGGGAAGGUGGGAUCUGUUCGAUUUUUGUAACCAUCUGAGUGUGGGUGUGGGUGCCCCAAAUAUGUGAGGCAGUCAGUUGAAAGUCGCUCAAUAGUAGGACAGAGAUUUCCCCACGUUGCCCACAUCGUUGCCUGGCUAACGCCCCAAGUCUUAGUGGACAGGCAUGCCCAGCGGGUUUGGUUUGACAGGGCAAAAGGUGUCUUGCUUAUGGGUAAACACUUUAUUUUUAUUUAUUUUUUUGUACAGUGUUUAUUGUCCCUUUUGUU